CGCUCGGCCAUCGGAGCGGCGAGAAUAGGGUACGUGGCUUUUUGGAAGAUAAGCGGACGUUUAGGGGUUUGGUUCCUUCGAGAAAGCGGUUUUAUGGGUCCCACAGCUGGAAAUCCGUACUCCCUGACACGAGCGCGCGUCGCUAUCGACACAUGGCCGGCCUCCGCGACGCGAAACCGCUGGCUUGUUAUGCGGAUGUCCGCUUGCAAUGA
rnacentral:lncRNA from 1 species